UAUAGUUGUGGAUUUAUAUGUUCAAUGUUUAACCGUCUGUCUUAUUUAAUUUUUUUAUAAUUAGUAUUUUUAUUGUUAUUAGAUGAUAAAACAUGAAUAAUAGUUUCUGCGUGACUUUGUUUAUUUUGUAAUAAAAUUUUAAAUAAGAUAGAUGGAAAUAUUGGACAUAAAAAUCUACAGUUACAUUUAAA
rnacentral:pre_miRNA from 1 species